AUGUGGGACUAAAAAUCGUAGAAAACUUGAACGCAUCAUCAAAACACCAAACGCAUUCAGUUUUUAGCUUUGGGUUUUUGUUGAGGUUUUACGAAGAAGAAGAAGCUACUGCGACUGCGAGUAUUCUGUUCUUCACUCUAGUCCCUGUGAUUGUGGAUCUUUUUUUGGGCUCCGAGAUGAAGGAGCUUCUGAGGUCCUUCGCUAGGCUCGGAGGUGUUAGGAGUUAUCAGGGGACAAGAAGUAAGGAGCUUAAAAUUGAUGGAAUUAAGCAUGCUAUAGCCGUUGCUUCUGGUAAAGGCGGUGUUGGCAAGUCCACCACUGCCGUUAAUUUGGCUGUUACACUUGCCAACAAGUGUCAUUUGAAAGUUGGCUUGCUUGAUGCUGAUAUUUAUGGACCAAAUGUUCCCAUCAUGAUGAAGCUCGAUAGAAAACCGGAAGUAACUGAAGAUAAGAAAAUGAUUCCACUUGAGAACUAUGGAGUUAAGUGUAUGUCAAUCGGACUUCUUGUUGAAAAGGAUGCCCCACUCGUCUGGAGAGGUCCUAUGGUAUCGAGUGCUCUUGAAAAAAUGACAAGGGGGGUUGAGUGGGGAAGUCUUGAUAUUCUUGUAGUGGAUAUGCCCCCUGGCACUGGUGAUACUCAGAUAACUUUAUCACAAAGGCUUCAACUGUCAGGUGCACUGAUUGUUUCAACACCUCAGGAUGUUGCAUUAAUGGAUGCUCGUAGAGGAGUUAACAUGUUCUCUAAAGUUCAAGUUCCAAUUUUGGGGCUAAUAGAGAAUAUGAGCUGCUUUAAGUGCCCACAUUGCAGUGAACCCUCGUUCAUUUUUGGAAAGCAUGGUACUCGGAAAACAGCUGACGAGAUGGGACUGGAGUUUCUUGGCGAGAUACCAUUGGAACCAGCAAUCAGAGAAGGCUGUGAUGAAGGUGUUCCCUUAGUAAUAUCAGCACCCAAUUCUGCCGUCUCUAAAGCGUAUGUGGAUCUGGCCCAUAAAGUUGUCAACAAACUUGAGAAAAUGUCUAAUGAAGAACAAACUCAACCAGAGAUUCGACUGUGAUUUUGCAUGGGCUCGACAACACACUUGAAGGGAGGUGAUUGCGUCGCUGCUGGACCUAAGGUAAAGGCAUAAGCGUAGUUGAUGAGGCGAUGGGUUGGAUCAGGCUUAAUCAGAUGUGUGCAUGUCGUGAUUGGUUGACCUGGGGGUCAAGGGUUGUUACUAAUGUAUUAUUAUUUUAAAGGUCUUUAACCUUUAGUUUAUGUUGUGUCUAAAACGUGUAUUUUUACUUACAUCGUGCAUGUAAAACAUGUUUUAUUUUAAAUAUCGAGAUCUCAACUUGCA